CAGGGUUAGUCGGUUCCUAAGGCGAGGCUGAAAAGCGUAGUCGAUGGGAAACAGGUUAAUAUUCCUGUACUUCUGGUUACUGCGAUGGAGGGACGGAGAAGGCUAGGCCAGCUUGGCGUUGGUUGUCUAAGUUUAAGGUGGUAGGCUGAAAUCUUAGGUAAAUCCGGGGUUUCAAGGCCGAGAGCUGAUGACGAGUCGUCUUUUAGAUGACGAAGUGGUUGAUGCCAUGCUUCCAAGAAAAGCUUCUAAGCUUCA
rnacentral:rRNA from 1 species